AUUGAACGCUGGCGGCAGGCCUAACACAUGCAAGUCGAGCGAGCGGCGGACGGGUGAGUAAUGUUUGGGAACCUGCCUGUUGGCGGGGGAUAACUACUGGAAACGGUAGCUAAUACCGCAUACCAUCAGAUGUGCCCAGACGGGAUUAGCUGGUCGGUGGGGUAACGGCUCACCUAGGCGACGAUCCCUAGCUGGUCUGAGAGGAUGACCAGCCACACUGGAACUGAGACACGGACCAGACUCCUACGGGAGGCAGCAGUGGGGAAUAUUGCACAAUGGGCGCAAGCCUGAGGCAGCCAUGCCGCGUGUGUGAAGAAGGCCUUCGGGUUGUAAAGCACUGUCAUCGGGGAGGCGUUACCCGCAGAAGAAGCACCGGCUAACUCCGUGCCAGCAGCCGCGGUAAUUC
rnacentral:rRNA from 1 species